rnacentral:tRNA from 1 species
GAGGAUUUAGCUCAGUGGUAGAGCGCUUGCCUAGCAAGCACAAGGGCCUGGGUUCAGUCCCCAGCUCC